AAUAGAUACCCUGGUAGUCCACGCCGUAAACGAUGAGUGCUAAGUGUUAGAGGGUUUCCGCCCUUUAGUGCUGCAGCAAACGCAUUAAGCACUCCGCCUGGGGAGUACGGUCGCAAGACUGAAACUCAAAGGAAUUGACGGGGGCCCGCACAAGCGGUGGAGCAUGUGGUUUAAUUCGAAGCAACGCGAAGAACCUUACCAGGUCUUGACAUCCCGUGACAACUCUAGAGAUAGGGCUUUCCCCUUCGGGGGACACGGUGACAGGUGGUGCAUGGUUGUCGUCAGCUCGUGUCGUGAGAUGUUGGGUUAAGUCCCGCAACGAGCGCAACCCUUGAUCUUAGUUGCCAGCAUUCAGUUGGGCACUCUAAGGUGACUGCCGGUGACAAACCGGAGGAAGGUGGGGAUGACGUCAAAUCAUCAUGCCCCUUAUGACCUGGGCUACACACGUGCUACAAUGGAUGGUACAAAGGGCAGCGAAACCGCGAGGUUAAGCCAAUCCCAUAAAACCAUUCUCAGUUCGGAUUGCAGGCUGCAACG
rnacentral:rRNA from 1 species